UACAGGGGGUGCAAACGUUGCUCGGAAUCAUUGGGCGUAAAGCGCACGUAGGCGGUUCGUUAUGUCGGAUGUGAAAGCCCUUGGCUUAACCGAGGAAGUGCAUCCGAAACUGGCGAGCUAGAGUACUAAAGAGGAUUGCGGAAUUCCCGGUGUAGAGGUGAAAUUCGUAGAUAUCGGGAGGAACACCGGUGGCGAAGGCGGCGAUCUGGGUAGAUACUGACGCUGAGGUGCGAAAGCGUGGGGAGCAAACAGG
rnacentral:rRNA from 1 species